GGGGUAUAGCUCAGUGGUAGAGCGCAUGCUUAGCAUGCUUGAGGUUCUGAGUUCAAUCCCCAGUACUGCCA
rnacentral:tRNA from 1 species